AGAUACUCUUAAUCCAGUAUAUAUGAUGUUUCUGGUACAUAUGUGUCAGAGUAGACUGUUGGGGAGGGCCAUUUCUCCUGCUUUCCUCAGUUGCCUCUAGUUCUUUGUGUAGGCAUGAGGCCUCCUGGGCGGUCCAUCCUCUUUGAGUUUAACCUUAGGAGAAAGGCGGUAUUGCAGGAUGAAGCUGUGCUUAGUCAUAAGUUUUAGAACAGCGAGUGUUGUAUCAAAUCUCAAAUGCUUAGGCUUUAAUACUCAGCCUGUGUGAAGGGGUGGUAGCCCCUCCCCUUCAUUAGGAAGGUAGCAGCUAAGAAUGAAGGUAAACUAAAACUGAGCAGCUAAGGAUUCAGUUUAUUUGAUUUAAUAAUUGGACUCAAAUUUAACAAUCAAUUUACUGAGUUAAUUGAUGACUCUUAACUAGAUACGGAAACUAGAUAUUAAAUCUGUUAACUGGUAGAUUAGUUGGUUAGUUAUUAGUGAGUAUUUAAAAUUGUAGAAAUUAUUACUCCUUUGAUUACUGUACUAGCUUACUGUGUGCUUGCUGUAUAUCUGUAUGGGAAGCAAUGACCUCUGGAGCCAUGCUGCCUGGAUACUUUCCUGCCACCCUUCCUAGCUGAUCUUGG
rnacentral:lncRNA from 1 species